rnacentral:rRNA from 1 species
CAGUCGCCGCGGGAAUACGAAGGGGGCUAGCGUUGUUCGGAUUUACUGGGCGUAAAGGGCGCGUAGGCGGACUGAUAAGUCAGGGGUGAAAUCCCAAGGCUCAACCUUGGAACUGCCUUUGAUACUGUUUGUCUUGGGUUCGAGAGAGGUAAGUGGAACUGCGAGUGUAGAGGUGAAAUUCGUAGAUAUUCGCAAGAACACCAGUGGCGAAGGCGGCUUACUGGCUCGAAACUGACGCUGAGGCGCGAAAGCGUGGGGAGCAAACAGGAUUAGAUACCCCGGUAGUCCCUGUCUCUUAUAC